AGCCGCGGGCGGGCGAACCACGGCACGGUCCGAUCCCGUCAGGUCUAAUAUAAUGCGUUUCUCUUAGAACCAGGGUACCACAAGGCACGGCGCAUCAUCGCCCCCUGCAUCCACCUCCCAGCUGGCCGCACGCCGCGGAGAAAAGCUAACAAGUCCGAGCCUGGGCAACGUUAGGAGCCCUGCAAAGGCGUGUUGCUUCAGCUCCACGGGUCUACACACUUCCCGGCGCCAACACUGAACUUUGGCUCAAACUUUGGGUAGCUACCCCCACGCGAAAAGGCUCGACCACCUGGGCAUCCACAGGGUGGGCUAACUGGGUCCCAACAUUCAACUCACUCCCCUCCGACCCCUGUGCUGGGUCAGCCAUUGGGCUGGGGUCACGCCAAUCAAGGCUGCCUGGCGAAUGAGCAGGGGGCGUUGGACCGGAAACCGGAUAUGGGUGGGAGGUCCAAUAGGGGGCGCCGCGUUGGAACGCCCUAAGAGGUUAUGCUGCGGGGGUGAUUUUAAGGCCUUGGGGGGCGCGUGUAUGGCGACUAGGCCACGAGGACCGAUGGCGCCCUGAGGUCACUCAGCCUGACGCCAUAGGUCGCAAAGGCCGGGUGAAAUCGGGGGCUCCCGGGGCCAAACCUCGGCCUCGCUGAUGGCGGUGGGCUAACCUACCCAACAGAGGGGGUCGCCACCGCCAGGGCGAGGCGAGGAGAAAGAAGAUUUUCAGGGCCUGGAGGUAGAGGGCCGGGGCCCUGAGGAGAGGGCUUACUGCGAGGAGCGCCAAGGAUGGAUAAGGGGUUGAGGCCCCGGGGAUGCUGAGCCCUGCGGAAGUGAAAGUGACUGGCUACCAGAAUCUGAAAACCCUAAAUCCUUUUGGUGACAGGGGUUAAGAGCUGAAACUGCACUGCACAUCAGCACUAGGGCUCCAGACACACCAGAGGUGUGGCCAGAUGUGUGAAGCAACUGGUGGCCUGGCCGCAGGGAUCUGAGGAACCUGAUAAGGGGUCUCGCACAAACAGCCCAGGACCUUUCCAGCCAAGCUGAUGCAGCCCCGCCCGCCGCCUGACCAGCUGCGCCAGAAGGAGAGUAGCCUGGUGGGGGUUCCUAGGGCCCCUUUACCCCGGAUACCUCUUGGACCCAAUACCAGUCCCAGCUGUUCCAUCCUGCUCUAGGGGCAUUGGUGUCUCUGGAGUCUUCAGCAGCUGGGCCACCUGGGAGGCUCUGGGACUUUCUGGUGUGGUGCCACUGUGCCUCAUCAGUGCCACCUCCCAGGUUUGAAACCUGUGGCACUUCAGCUUCUUCUGAGUGAAAGUUUAACCUUUGCCCCCUGAAGGAAAGGUUUGCUAAGUGAAGAGAAUUUGGGGAAUAAGAUCCUUGUGGAGGGUGUGUUGUCCGUUCUUUGGUGUCAGCUGUGGCAUGAGUGUUGCAGACCCCAUACUGGUGAGGGAGGCCUCAGCGAGCUCUAGGAUUUGGCUGGAUCAACACUCGCCUGCAGCCCUUUCUCAGAGAUACUGCCAACAGACUGCACCGGAGAUGGGUGAGGGGUAGAGCCCCCCUCGGAAGAGCUGUGGCACAAGAACUGGCUAACAGAUGAGACGGUGAUGCCGCUUUAUGGGAUAGUUAAACGCACACGAUCUCGAAACUAUGAAUACACUGCAGAAGCACACAGGAUUCUAGAGGAGCAGGCAUGGUGGUUUCUCCUAACCGGGGCAUAGAGGAUUCCAGGGCUGUGGGCGAUAUUUUCAGAGUCGCUGUCCCUAAGAAGCAGCACUCACGGCCCCCAGCUCUCCCGUUUGCCUUCAAAAUACCCGAAGAGGCCACUCGUUUGGAGCUGGGCACAGCGUGGGCUUCCUCGCAUGAGCUCUUUGAUAAACAUCUCCCCGUUUGUCAAUUUCUCUCUGCCAGAAAGCCUGGUUAAUCCUUCCUCCCAACUUUCAUUUAGGCUUUGGACCUGGAGCUUGUGGAAGGCAAAUUCCUGGGGAACCAGCGUUUCUGGCAGACUUGUAGAAGAAGUUUCCAGAAGGUCAGGAGUCAGCCAUCUUUUUCAGGUUUUAAGACAACCCUGAAAACCGGUGCGGGAGCCUCCUAGAGGUGGAACAGACACGGCAGACUCUGUUGCAAUAAACCCCCGCAGCCGCCCCGUGGGAAACAGAGAAGAACCCAGCUUCCCACGAAUGCUGACUGCGCGGACUGCCCACGCGUGGUCUCAGGGCCCUUGCCCGGCGGGGUGGAGCAGCACCCAGCUUCUGAAGCCCAACCGGGUCGCCCCAAGAAGGCGUUCUAGAAAAGCAACCUCCUGGGUCUCCUGGUGCCGUCGGUUUCCCCCCUCACCCUGGGCGGCACCUGCUCCUGCAGAUGUGCUCGCAGCUGGCCGUACCCUGCCUGCGGCAGGAGCAUUGGCCCCGUGUGCCCCUUCCCUGUGCUGGGGGCCCUUACCCUGCUUUUUUGCCUUUUUUUUUUUACUGCGGCAGCACUUAUGCCUGUUGCACCUUCGUGGCCUUUGUUCAUCGUCUCUUUCUUGGCCUGCAGUGGAUGAAGUCGAACUAAAUUAAAUUGCUGCUCUUGCAGGUCAGAGACAGACAGAUAUCGGCAAUUUCGUGUGUUUCCACGGAAUCCAGUCAAUGGGUCUGGGGCUUGCUUUGGUUCCCUGCUGACGCGCAGUAACUAGAACAGAGCCCGCCCCGAGCCAGCCCUCCGUCCACGCUGCGGGAUGCGUGGAGAAAAGCAGCCAUUUAGGGGCUUGGGACGCCGACCCCGGCGGUCAGCCCUGGGGCCAGAACACAGAGACCCUAAGGGUACUCCAGCUGCCAGAACACAGAGACCCUAAAGGCACUCCAGCUGCCCGUAGGGCCGGCCGCUCCCUCUUCCCACGCGAGCCUCCCACGCCUGAGCCGGGCACAGGAAGACGCCUCUCCAGGCCCUGCCGUCGCCUCGCUAAUGGUGGAUGUUCUGGCGGCAGAGGAGGCGGGUGGGGAGGGCCUGGGACAUCGCGUCCGGCGCCCCCGCCCGCUCGCGUGGGAGCCCACUGCCGCCAUCCUCGCAGGAGGACGUGGGCGAGCAGCGCAGGGCCGGGGACGGGUUCGGGGGCGCGGGGCCCGGUGGGCUGUGUGUGCCCGAAGACGACCAUUUUAUACACCAGAGUCUAAUGAAGGUCGCAGGUGAAUGUGAAUGGAACUAAUGAGAAAAUAAUUAUCCGAGCCGGGAAGGCAUGGAGGCUCUGGGAGCUGCGAUUUCUGUGCUAAUGGAAAUGUGACGAGGGGAGGGGUGCCGCCCGCAACUUGUGCUUUCCUGAACUUGAAGUUUCUGCCUGGGAAAGUUCUGGGGUGGGGGAAACGGGAGGCCGGCCGCCGGAAUUCACGGAAUUCAUCUCAGCUUGCCUGGGAACCCGCCCCCUCCCCUUCCUUUGUCCUGAGUGGGGCAGACGGAGACACUGCUAACCUGGGGGUGUCCCCGGUGCCCCCCGGGAGUCGGUGCUUCCCACUAAUGGCGCGAUGUGGGAUCAGGCCAGGUGACCCCUCCUCCCAGGACACCCCCCUCGGCCGUUGCAAAAGGCUUGGUGGGGGUGGGGCGCUGUCCAGAGAGGACAGGCAGGAGGCAGCCAGGGCCGUGGCCACGAAGGGGAGGUCUGGGCUCCUCUUCCGAGUUCUGCUGCCAGGGCCCUCGAUCUCAGGUAAGGCCGCCCGAUUGUUUCGGGAGAGGAAGGGACAUUCCACCAAUCGAACCGACAUCUGUGCCCAGAGAUUUCAAUAGCUCCAGCCUUCUUGGCGGGGUUCACCUAUUGUUUCUUGCAACCUGGCUGCUGGGUAGAUAAGGCUGCAGCCCUGAAACUCCACCCGCCCAGCCCCCAGCCCUCCCCCGUCUCCUGGACGCCAGGACAAUUAUGGAAUAUAAGAACUAUACCCUGGUGACACUCCCAGCGUUUGUAGGGGCCAGCAGAGUAACAAAGAUUGCAAAUUCAGGUCAUUUCCGCAGACCCCGCGCACAUUUCUUAGGGACCUAAAUUGCGACUGAGAUUGUGUUGCGAGAGAGGAACAUCCAUCUUCCCCUUGCUCCUCUUAGCAAGGCCUCAGGUUCAGCCUUGGGUCUACAAAUUGCCCUUGUAAGGCUGCAGAUACGUUAACUUGCCUAAUUUAGCAUUUUCUUCGCCCUGGGCUGGGGGGGGAGGGGCAGAAGCGGAGCUUGGCCACUCUGUUCCAUGGACCUUGGAAAACACAGAUUCCCAGGCCCUGCCCCAGACCUGCUGGUUUUGAGUCCCCAGGCAUAAGGUUGGGCACUUGUGUUCUGACAACAGCGCCACCUCCCCCAAGCCAGCCUCGGAGACACUGGCCUGUGGAUAAUUCCAAGAUGGAUUCUUCAUUCAAAAGGAUUCAGGAGAGAUUUGAGGUUGAGUGGUGAGCAACAGAGUUGAUUUGCAUGGGGUGGGGAGCGAGAAGUUUUCCACUACCUUGAGACUUGCUCUCCAAACGACUUGAGGCUGUAAUUAUACAUGCAAAGUGAAGCUAAAAUUUCAGAGAAGUAUCUGGAGAAUUCAAGUCAGAAGAAGCAUGUUCCUCUGAAAUACCUAGAUAAUGAAAGAAAAAAUAUAUUCAUUGCAUAAAUUGCUCAUUAAUUCACUCCUCUGUGGGGGCACACAGCUUAAAAGCAGACGCUUUGAUUAAUCCAAGCUAUAUUAAAUCCUCAAGAUGCUUCCCCGCCCCCAUGCCUGGAUAUUCAUAUUUCUUUCCUCUAAAAAAUCAUAAAUAAAGUUGUCCUUUUGCAAAAAUGCAUUUCAGAUUUGGCUUAGCAGAAUGAGCCCUAUAGUUGUUAGAAUCAAUUUGGGUGCACUUUUUCAUUUUUAAGUACACAUUUUGAAAUCAGAUGCAUUCUUUCCAAUUCACUGGAAAUGCUAAUUUUUUUUUCCAUCACAUUUCAAAGUUACAUUAUGUGUGGCUAAGUGAAUAACACCCAGCACAAUAGCACUUCAGAAAGACUGAGGACGGACAGGAUCCCAAUCAGAAGGAAAGCUAGGGAAAUGGUUAAUUUCAAUGGUAGGCAACUGAUUGGGAAAAAGAAUCUAUAGAAUUAUUUAUUUCCUUUAAAAAAAAAAAGAAACCCAAAAAAUUCAAAAAUGACUCGGAAAGAACAAGAGUCUAAUCCUGGCAGGUUGAUUUCUUAAGGCCUCUUAAUGAAAUCUCGGCAGAUCUGCUCCCCGCCCGCCGGCUGUGGGGCUGUGGGGUCCUGGGGUUCGCUGUCUUUUUCUCCGUGAGCCGCUUCACACAGGUACAGAGGAUGAUCAGUCGUCUACCUGGCUUUUCUGCUGCUGACUUGCCCGUCCCCACACCCGAGGCGAGCUCUCUGGGAGGCAGGCCAGCCCGUGUGGGAAGCCUCUUACAGGUAAACAGAGUCAUACGGGGACUGUGGUGCCAUCCUCUCGCCCUUUUACAAAAUAGCCUUUUUGUGGCUUGAUGCAGCAAGAGUCCCUGGGCACCUUCCUGGGGACCAGUGUUAAGUACUUUGUGACGCUGUGAUGCCUGUUUCACAAAGCUCGGGAGGAGGGCAGAGACAUCCUGUAUAAAAAAACAAAAAGCCCUUUGUGGUGAGUAAGGGAGGUAGAUAAACACAAUCUAUUUUGGGGCGCUUGGGGAUACUCCUUUCCAUUCAAUUAACACGAUGAUAGAUUAUUCCGAUCACUGGUGGAAUUGGUCCCCAGAUUCGGGAUUUUAGAGACCAGUAAAAAUAAUCAUAAUAAUUAGCAGAGGAGAUGGCAACUUUUUAUUUUUAUCAAGAAGGAGCAUAAAAAAGCAACCACCUUCUAAGGCCACGUCUUAUAAAAACAAGGGCAUUUGCACUCCCUAAGAGCAAACGUAAGCAAGAAGGGCUGGCUCUCAGGAGUGAUGGGAUAAUGUAUUAACAGGGC